rnacentral:rRNA from 1 species
UACGUAGGGACCGAGCGUUGUCCGGAUUCAUUGGGCGUAAAGAGCUCGUAGGCGGCUGCUCAAGUCGAAUGUGAAAACUCGAGGCUCAACCUCGAGCCUGCAUUCGAUACUGGGCGGCUAGAGUCUGGUAGGGGGGAUCUGGAAUUCCUGGUGUAGCGGUGGAAUGCGCAGAUAUCAGGAGGAACACCGGGUGGCGAAGGCGGUUUCCUGGCCGAGUACUGACGCUGAGGCACGAAAGCGUGGGGAGCGAACGGG